rnacentral:rRNA from 1 species
GCACUUUCGUUAAUUGAUUUUGAGAUGCUUGCAUCGAAGAUGAUUUUAACUAUAAAGUGAGUGGCGAACGGGUGAGUAACACGUGGGUAACCUGCCCAGAAGUGGGGGAUAACACCUGGAAACAGAUGCUAAUACCGCAUAACAAAAUUAACCGCAUGGUUGAUUUUUAAAAGAUGGCUUCGGCUAUCACUUCUGGAUGGACCCGCGGCGUAUUAGCUAGUUGGUGAGAUAAAGGCUCACCAAGGCAGUGAUACGUAGCCGACCUGAGAGGGUAAUCGGCCACAUUGGGACUGAGACACGGCCCAGACUCCUACGGGAGGCAGCAGUAGGGAAUCUUCCACAAUGGACGCAAGUCUGAUGGAGCAACGCCGCGUGAGUGAUGAAGGCUUUCGGGUCGUAAAACUCUGUUGUUGGAGAAGAACGUGUGUGAGAGUAACUGCUCAUGCAGUGACGGUAUCCAACCAGAAAGCCACGGCUAACUACGUGCCAGCAGCCGCGGUAAUACGUAGGUGGCAAGCGUUAUCCGGAUUUAUUGGGCGUAAAGCGAGCGCAGGCGGUCUUUUAAGUCUAAUGUGAAAGCCUUCGGCUUAACCGAAGAAGUGCAUUGGAAACUGGGAGACUUGAGUGCAGAAGAGGAGAGUGGAACUCCAUGUGUAGCGGUGAAAUGCGUAGAUAUAUGGAAGAACACCAGUGGCGAAGGCGGCUCUCUGGUCUGCAACUGACGCUGAGGCUCGAAAGCAUGGGUAGCGAACAGGAUUAGAUACCCUGGUAGUCCAUGCCGUAAACGAUGAAUGCUAAGUGUUGGAGGGUUUCCGCCCUUCAGUGCUGCAGCUAACGCAUUAAGCAUUCCGCCUGGGGAGUACGACCGCAAGGUUGAAACUCAAAAGAAUUGACGGGGGCCCGCACAAGCGGUGGAGCAUGUGGUUUAAUUCGAAGCUACGCGAAGAACCUUACCAGGUCUUGACAUCUUCUGCUAACCUAAGAGAUUAGGCGUUCCCUUCGGGGACGGAAUGACAGGUGGUGCAUGGUUGUCGUCACCUCGUGCCUGGAGAUGUUGGGUUAAGUCCCGCACCGA